CUCCUGCGGCUUGGUGUCCUGGGGCGCGUCAGCGGGCACCUUCCAGGCAGAAGCGCCUCUGGACUGUGCGGCACACAGAAGGAUUCGCUUCACCGAGCUUGAGAGCCUUCUUCUCCCCAAUCGUAAACCGUGCCAUAAGGAACGUCCUGGAGUACCCAGCUUUACCCACUGGGGUAAGCUAAGCAGGUAGGGCAGGCCCUGCCUGGAGGAGGGAGGGUUUCUCCACACGCUGUAAGGCGUUAGAGUACAAACCCCUGCUGAAACAGCACCAGGGCUGGUCAGCCAGGUGUGGGGGGGGGUGCUCUGGAAUUGGAGGCUGGAACCCCAAACGCUGCUCUUUGCCUCAGGCCAGCCUCCACUUACCUUUGUGGCUGGAGAGGGGAGGAGGAGCUUUCCUUUAAUUUACAGAACUGCCCAGAGCAAGGUCAGAAUGCAGCCAGUAAUCCCAGCCUUGGCUUUCUUUUAAAUGGGGAGGGGGGUGGAAGCGGCUCUGCUUCGGGCUGGCUGAAGGAGCACCAGUCACAGAAGAAGGUCCAAGGAGGUGGGCAGGAGGGAAAGGUGUCACUCAAAGGUCGGGACCUGCCUGAAGGUCCCUCUCAUAUCCCCAGAGCCUCAGAACCUUGUCCACUUCCUUGUAGGGGGUCAUAUAUAUAAUGGGCGAAUGAGUGAAUGAAUGAAUGGAUGGAUGGAAGUUUCCACGGACUGGCAUCGGUGUGUUCGGGGGUGUGAGGGCUGAGCAGUAGAGAGGAUGUGGUUGGCUGCAGGGCUGACCCUAUUUUAUUGAGAGGGCCUAGAAGGAGCUGCUUGUGGGGAUGCACUUGGGGCCUGGCGUUCAAGGUCAGACCUCGGCCCAGGCGGUCAGCUGCCCACCACGUGGCUCCGGGUGCGCGAUCUCCCCUGUCGCCUUCUUGCCCUGCCAGACUCUGAAGGAUGUGAUCCAAAUCCCACUCUUCAAGUUCCUGAAAUAAUUAAAGCAGUGAUUAAGAGGCAGCCGCAGGGGCCUGGUGGUGGGAGUGCCCGAUUCCACAGCUGCCGACCAAUGGAGGCCAUCGUGGGUUGUCGUGGGUUAGAAGUCAGGGACUGGGUGCCUGCCCACCUGGGCAAUCUCUCCCCCACACCUCCGUCACAGUGGGGGAGAGGGGCACAGCACCUCCUGCUGUCUCCUUCCUAUGCCUUUUUUGAGCAAUACUUUUGUUUUUGGCAUAAAUGCUGUUUGGCCUGGAAACCCGGUGUUUUCUUAAAGCUCUCUAGGCCCAUACAGGUUUAAAGUCUUGGGAAGCUUCAACGUGUUGCUCUCUUAAGGAACUGAUUGUUCUGGGCCGGCCCCUAUCACCAGCCCUAUCACCCUAUCAUGGGAGGACUUGUAAGAGAGCGCUGGAGGCGCCUGGGUGUGAUGAGAGGAGGGAGGAAGUGAAUUAGGAGCUUGUGGACUCUCCUGCAGCUCCUUGCAGCCCUAGAGCCCAGAAGCAUCUGCAGGGGGCCUCGGAGCCAUUCCUUUGGAAUGUUCCCAUCGGGAAGGACCCGGCCUGUCUCCCUUCUCCUGACUUCCAUACCUGCUGGGGACACACCUGGCCCAGUCCCACCCACGCUGACCGGCUCUUUGUGAUCCUCACGACUCUGACUCUAGCGGGCCCCGCUCUCCCCCUCCCUCCUCCUCCCUGUAAAACCCCAGUCAGCUCUGCACAAACCGGAGCUCAGCUCUGUCCCCUGCUGUCAGCUGUUAGGGAAUAAAGUCUGCUUUCACUGC